rnacentral:rRNA from 1 species
UACAGAGGUGGCAAGCGUUGUUCGGAAUUACUGGGCGUAAAGGGCGCGUAGGCGGCCUUCUAAGUCAGACGUGAAAUCCCCCGGCUUAACCUGGGAACUGCGUCUGAUACUGGGAGGCUUGAGUAUGGGAGAGGGAUGUAGAAUUCCAGGUGUAGCGGUGAAAUGCGUAGAUAUCUGGAGGAAUACCGGUGGCGAAGGCGGUUCUCUGGGCCUUACCUGACGCUGAGGAGCGAAAGCGUGGGGAGCGAACAGG